CAGUCUCAAACUAGAGCAUCGGAGCAGAGAUACAAAAGGGAUCUUGGAUCCUGACGGCACAGAAUGUGGUGGGCCCACCUUUAGAAUUCUUUGCUGUGAGACCAUAAAGCCCUUGUGUGGAGGAGCUUCUGUCUUUUUAAGAUCCCUGCUAUGUGCAGGCUGGCCUUGUUCCUCACUUUUUGUCGAUUAAGAACUGAGUAGAGAAAUUAAAAUCUAAACUACCUUAACUUACUGAGGAAAAACAUGUCUGUAAAUUAAAAUAUUCUUAUGGCUUGGUUAUGUUGACCAGUACAAAUUCACCUUAGGCUCUUGAAACAUUUGAAGCCAAACCACACAACAGCCUAUCAAAGCUGUUCCUUGGCACAGGGUGGACACUCUGCUUUCUUGUGGAAAGAAAACAUUAUUGUACAAAGGAAGAGCCUCAACGAACAAGCAGACACUGUUAUAUCUUCGUUGGUGGUCAUGUUCAAUCCAAGCUCCAAGCUGAGCUCUAAAUAGCAGCUUCCUUUGAACCUAGGCCAUCGAGUUAGCGGUCUUGGAGGAGUGGUCAAAUCUUCACAGCUGGCUUGUGUUCCAAGCCACUAAACCUCCAGGCCAGGUUUCUCCCAUGGAGGGAAUCCAGCUGGCCCUGGUCUUACUCAGCUCAUCAUGCAGCACGCUCAGCUCAUGCUGUCCUUUGAAAUGUUCUGCAAUCUGAACAUCACAGCUGGCUAUGGAGCAGCACACCUGAGGGUACCGAGCCCUGAGUGAAGGGAUUUGAUCCCACUUAGGACUGAGUGUUCCCCGGUCUCUCACUCUCUGCACAUUGUCCACUGCGAGGGUCUGUUUGUUCCUGUCUUCUUCUCGAAGAAUCUUCUCUGAUAACGGCUGAGCAAACCACUGAUCUUGUAUCAUCCAGUCUUCUGCGACACAUGUUGAAACGAAAAUUACAUCAUCUGGUGGGGUUCCCGAUUAUAUAG